CUUGUCGGGGCGCCCGUCACGGCCAAAUCGGCCAGGGCUGAGAUCGCAUAGCGAGUCCCGUUGCACCUGAUCUGGAUAAUGCCAGCGUAGGGAACAA
rnacentral:ncRNA from 1 species